rfam:Eucalyptus grandis cultivar BRASTZ1 unplaced genomic scaffold scaffold_2871, whole genome shotgun sequence.
GGGAGCGAUCAUACCAGCACUAAUGCACCGGAUCCCAUCAGAACUCCGAAGUUAAGUGUGCUUGGGCGAGAGUAGUACUAGGAUGGGUGACCUCCUGGGAAGUCCUCGUGUUGCACCCA